AGUGAACGCUGGCGGCGUGCUUAACACAUGCAAGUCGAACGAGAACGGAAUAUAGCUUGCUAUAUUUGUCAGCUAAGUGGCGCACGGGUGAGUAAUGUAUAGAUAACCUGCCCUUAAGAAAGGAAUAACAGUUGGAAACGACUGCUAAUGCCCUAUAUGCCUUUAAUACAUAAGUAUGCAAGGGAAACGCUUUAGUGCUUAAGGAUGGGUCUGUAUGGUAUCAGCUUGUUGGUGAGGUAAUGGCUCACCAAGGCUAUGACGCCUAACUGGUUUGAGAAGAUGGUCAGGCACACUGGAACUGAGACACGGUCCAGAGUGCUACGGGAGGCAGCAGUGGGGAAUAUUGCACAAUGGACGAAAGUCUGAUGCAGCAACGCCGCGUGGAGGAUGACACAUUUCGGUGCGUAAACUCCUUUUAUAUAGGAAGAUAAUGACGGUACUAUAUGAAUAAGCACCGGCUAACUCCGUGCCAGCCGCCGCAGUAACAC
rnacentral:rRNA from 1 species